rnacentral:rRNA from 1 species
GGCCGCAAGGUUAAAACUCAAAUGAAUUGACGGGGGCCCGCACAAGCGGUGGAGCAUGUGGUUUAAUUCGAUGCAACGCGAAGAACCUUACCUACUCUUGACAUCCAGAGAAUUUAGCAGAGAUGCUGAAGUGCCUUCGGGAACUCUGAGACAGGUGCUGCAUGGCUGUCGUCAGCUCGUGUUGUGAAAUGUUGGGUUAAGUCCCGCAACGAGCGCAACCCUUAUCCUUUGUUGCCAGCGAUU